rnacentral:rRNA from 1 species
AUUGAACGCUGGCGGUAUGCUUAACACAUGCAAGUCGAACGGUAACAGGCCUUCGGGCGCUGACGAGUGGCGGACGGGUGAGUAACGCGUAGGAAUCUGCUUCAUAGUGGGGGACAACGUGGGGAAACUCACGCUAAUACCGCAUACGCCCUACGGGGGAAAGCGGGGGAUCUUCGGACCUCGCGCUAUGAGAUGAGCCUGCGUUAGAUUAGCUAGUUGGUAGGGUAAAGGCCUACCAAGGCGACGAUCUAUAGCUGGUCUGAGAGGACGAUCAGCCACACUGGGACUGAGACACGGCCCAGACUCCUACGGGAGGCAGCAGUGGGGAAUAUUGGACAAUGGGCGCAAGCCUGAUCCAGCAAUACCGCGUGUGUGAAGAAGGCCCUAGGGUUGUAAAGCACUUUCAAUUGGGAGGAAAAACCUGCCGGUCAAUACCCGGCAGCUUGACAUUACCUUUAGAAGAAGCACCGGCUAACUCCGUGCCAGCAGCCGCGGUAAU